rnacentral:lncRNA from 1 species
AGGCCUGCAAUAUAUAGGCACUGAUGAACAAAUACCUAUAUAGUGGAAACUCUUGAGUAAUUUAAGCAUAGCUCUUUAUCAGUUGUUGAAACUUCUUCAAAGUAGUGCAUGGAUCCCAGCACUUUGGGAGGCCAAGGCAGGCAGAUCACCUGAGGUCCAAGAGUUCAAGACCAGCCUGGCCAACAUGGUGAAACCCCAUCUCUACUAAAAAUACAAAAAAAUUUGCUGGGCAUGGUGGCGGACACCUGUAAUCCCAG